CACGUAGGGGGCAAGCGUUGUCCGGAUUUAUUGGGCGUAAAGAGCUCGUAGGUGGUUCCGUAAGUCAGGUGUGAAACCUCCAGGCUCAACCUGGAGACGCCACUUGAUACUGCGGUGACUGGAGUCCGGUAGGGGAGCGUGGAAUUCCUGGUGUAGCGGUGAAAAUGCGCAGAUAUCAGGAGGAACACCUGCGGUGUAGACGGCUUACUGGACCAUAACUGACGCUGAGGCACGAAAAGCUAGGGGAGCAAACGGG
rnacentral:rRNA from 1 species